rnacentral:rRNA from 1 species
CACGUAGUUAGCCGGCGCUUCUUCUGCAGGUACCGUCACCCGAAAGCUUCUUCCCUACUGAAAGAGGUUUACAACCCGAAGGCCGUCAUCCCUCACGCGGCGUCGCUGCAUCAGGCUUUCGCCCAUUGUGCAAUAUUCCCCACUGCUGCCUCCCGUAGGAGUCUGGGCCGCGUCUCAGUCCCAGUGUGGCCGGUCACCCUCUCAGGCCGGCUACCCCGUCAUCGCCUUGGUAGGCCUUUCACCCCACCAACAAGCCUGAUAGGCCGCGAGCCCAUCCCAGACCAGAAACCCUUUCAACAACCCGACAUGCAUCAGGAAGUGAUAUCCAGUAUUAGCCCCGGUUUCCCGGAGUUAUCCCAGAGUCCUGGGGCAGGUUACUCACGUGUUACUCACCCGUUCGCCACUAAUCAAGGAUGCAAGCACCCAUCAUCGUCGACUUGCAUGUAGUAAGCACGCCGCCAGUCGUUCGUCCUCGUAGCCUAGGACUCAAACGUCU